rnacentral:rRNA from 1 species
GACGGAGGAUGCAAGCGUUAUCCGGAAUGAUUGGGCGUAAAGCGUCCGCAGGUGGCAGUUCAAGUCUGCUGUCAAAGACCGGGGCUCAACCUCGGAAAGGCAGUGGAAACUGAACAGCUAGAGUAUGGUAGGGGCAAAGGGAAUUCCUGGUGUAGCGGUGAAAUGCGUAGAGAUCUGGAGGAAUACCGGUGGCGAAGGCGGCCCCCUGGACAAAGACUGACGCUCAGGUGCGAAAGCGUGGGGAGCAAACAGG